AUUGAACGCUGGCGGCAGGCCUAGCACAUGCAAGUCGAGCGGAUGAAGGGAGCUUGCUCCUGGAUUCAGCGGCGGACGGGUGAGUAAUGCCUAGGAAUCUGCCUGGUAGUGGGGGAUAACGUCCGGAAACGGGCGCUAAUACCGCAUACGUCCUGAUGGAGCAAGUGGGGGAUCUUCGGACCUCACGCUAUCAGAUGAGCCUAGGUCGGAUUAGCUAGUUGGUGGGGUAAAGGCCUACCAAGGCGACGAUCCGUAACUGGUCUGAGAGGAUGAUCAGUCACACUGGAACUGAGACACGGUCCAGACUCCUACGGUAGGCAGCAGUGGGGAAUAUUGGACGAUGGGGGAAAGCCUGAUCCAGCCAUGCCGCGUGUGUGAAGAAGGUCUUCGGAUGGUAAAGCACUUUAAGUUGGGAGGAAGGGCAGUAAGUUAAUACCUGGCUGUUUUGACGUUACCAACAGAAUAAGCACCGGCUAACUUCGUG
rnacentral:rRNA from 1 species